rnacentral:rRNA from 1 species
UACGAAGGGGCUAGCGUUGCUCGGAAUGACUGGGCGUAAAGCGCACGUAGGCGGUUCGUUAUGUCGGAUGUGAAAGCCCUUGGCUUAACCGAGGAAGUGCAUCCGAAACUGGCGAGCUAGAGUACGAAAGAGGAUCGCGGAAUUCCCGGUGUAGAGGUGAAAUUCGUAGAUAGUCGGGAGGAACGACCGGUGGCGAAGGCGGCGAUCUGGUCGAGUACUGACGCUGAGACGGCGAAAGCGUGGGGAGCGAACAGGA